UUGUAAUUGGAAUGAUGGGAAUGUAAAACCCUUCCAGAGUAACAAUUGGAGGGCAAGUCUGGUGCCAGCAGCCGCGGUAAUUCCAGCUCCAAUAGUGUAUAUUAGAGUUGUUGCAGUUAAAAAGCUCGUAGUCGGAUUUCUGUCGUGGUCAGCCGGUGCCGCCCGUAUGGGUGUGCGCCUGGUUUGCCCGCGGCUUUUUUCCGGUAGCCUUCCGCGCUUAAUUGCGUGUGUUGGUGUUCUGGAACUUUUACUUUGAGAAAAAUAGAGUGUUUCAAGCAGGCUUGUCGCCCUGAAUACUGCAGCAUGGAAUAAUAAGAUAGGACCUCGGUUCUAUUUUGUUGGUUUCUAGGACCAAGGUAAUGAUUAAUAGGGACAGUUGGGGGCAUUCGUAUUUAACUGUCAGAGGUGAAAUUCUUAGAUUUGUUAAAGACGAACUACUGCGAAAGCAUUUGCCAAGGAUGUUUUCAUUAAUCAAGAACGACAGUAGGGGG
rnacentral:rRNA from 1 species